UGGUCACAGAGUUAUCAUUUUUAGGGGUGUGGUGGGGUGGGACUGUUGUUGAAGUAAAAGGAGGAGGGUUAGACCUGCCCAACUAGAGGUUUCUUCUAGUUUUUAUAUUUUUAAGACAGUUUAUUAUUAUGUGGCCAAUAAACCAGCAGGUGGCACUACACAACAAUUUUACACAGGCAAAAAUAAGAAUGUGAUCAACACUACUCUGACAAUUUACACAAACAAGAAGUGACCACUUUAAAGACAGAAUGCCAAGAACAAUACAAUAAAUGCUAAAGAGAAAGAGUGACAAGAGUGAGCAACUACAGAUAAUGCAGUCAUGGAACCAGAAAAAGAGAUUCACAGCCUUACAUCAGGGGAAGGAUUUUGGCAGGUGUCUGAAAAUGUGUCUCGAAACAUCUCUGUAGACAAGACUGAGAAAGAGACAAUCUAUGAAAAUCUUCCAGAACUACUAUUUCCAGAAAGACACUCUGGGAAGUACAGCUUUUGACUGAUAAGGAAAAGAAAUUGAGAUGCAUGUUACACCCUCCCAAAGUCUGAAAACCCUAAUUAUUCAGCUCCAGAGAGAGGAAGGAAAUUUUCUAUUGGAAAGAUGAAUAAUUUAAGAGAUGUCUAUGUUGCUACAUCAAUUGUCGGAAUAAAUUAAGUCCAUCUUGACUUUGCCUUCUACAGGAACUAGUUCUCAGUGGCAGAAGUGAAAUAAACUCAAUACCCAGA
rnacentral:lncRNA from 1 species